CAGGAUGAGGAUGAGGUUUCAUCCUGCUGGUGGCCAUGUUACGUGGCUGCUGUACAUUAUCCACCCUGUUGUUUGUCACAGGGUCCUGAAAAUCACAAUUUGAUGUUUCUGUAGUAAAGAUGUGAAACAAGUAUCAAAAAGGUGGAGGAACUGAAGAUGUAUUAAUUUUUGCUGAUGGUCAGAUCUUUACUGCUGUGAAAACAUGAGGAUUUUCUACCCAUGCUUUGGAGUCCAGCUCAACAGAAUUGCCAAGAAAGUAAAUCUUUUCUAAAUCCAAGUCUUAUUUGAAGGUCUAAGAUUUGCGUCCAGUACCCAUUACAUCGACUGAAGACUGGAGGGGAAGAAAAUAGUUCUACAGAGCAUUCAGGACUUGAUCACAUAUACCACAUAAACUAAAUCCCGCUUUACACUUUGUAGUUCUUAUUGAAUUCUUCAGACUGCUUCAGAAUCUUGUCCUUGGCUGAUGAUAAACACAAGAAACACAUUCUGUGUUAAACGACAACCUGAAAAUUUACCUAAAUAUCAAGAGUUUAAAUAAACUUUGAUGGACAGACAGGCAGUAUGCUUUUAUUUUCCUUUCUUUUUUUUUUUUUUUUAGUGUAUUGAGCUUUGUAAAUGGAAAGCAAUGCCUACUCUCUCUCAACGCCUGUAAAAUUUAUACCAUUAUUCUUCAUUUUAUUCUUAAACAUUUUGAUCCAAGUAUUUUUCAUUAGCAUCUCACUUAAGUGAGAAUUAUGAUUACAGACUAUUUGCAAUAUUUAGAGAAAAGUUAAAUUACUGAAUUACUGAAUGUAACUUUUCUUGCUGAUUUGGAUUUUUUUAUUAUUAGUAUUUUUUUUUUAGAGAGAAACAAAUAGUACAGAAGUUACGUUUAACAGUGAUGUCUAUAACUACCUUAGUUCUCUAUUGGAAGACAUGACUUUUUAAAAAGUGAAGGACUGGUAAUGGCUCUAAUCCAUCCUUCCUGCUCUCAUCAGUGCCUGGGUAAGCAACAUGUACUUUGGCAUUUUGCAAUAUGUUGCAGCAUAUCUUUCAAGCUGAGGGAGGGAGUAUAUAACUAGUUCCACAUUCCUCUCUUCUCAGGAGUGUUUAAACUCUUUUCCAGAGACUCUGCUUGUAGCUAGCUGCAGUAUUGUCACUGUGAUUGUAACUUAUUUACUGAAUAGCUCAAUUCUUAUAGGAAUUUAUAAGAUUUCAUAAUUGUCUCUAUCACAUCCUUCAAUUUUUAGGGUGAUAACUAACUGAAAGGCCUGUCUUGCACUGGUGAGACUCAGUGAUAACAUUUAAAAUGAUGUUUGUGCUCUUCAUAAAAAAAAAAGUUCAGUUUGCUACUCCAGAAACAGUAUUUUUAAAUGAAAUGAUUUUCCGUUUGCUAACCAUCCUGUAUGCUAACCCAAAAUCUUUAUGAUUAGGAGUAGGUGUUUUCAUCAGGUCUUCCUUUUUUCACCAUUUCCUUUUCAUUUCAGAGAGAAAAAUUUCUUACUUGGGAGCAUACCUAUUUCAGUUGAAAAAUAAAAGCCUGUAUUGAGUGGGAAGGAGAUUAAUCCAGUGUAUAUGAGAGUUUUGCCUUUUUUGUGCACACUUUUUUUUUUAGUAUCUCUACAUUAUUAUUUGAGAAUCUUAUAUACUUCUAUCAUUAAUAAUAAUAUUUACAUUUUAUUCAUGACCAUAAAAAGUAGAUUCACUUUAUAGCUGCGGAGAUUUAGCAAAGCACAAUAAUAGGACACCUGGCCCCACUAGUCACAACUAAGAUAUUACUCUGAAUUUCCCUAUUGUCUAAGAGUAGUAACAGAUUCAGAUCGGAUUUCUUAACCUGCAGCUGCAGCAAGUAAAGUAAGUUAUUUGCUGACUUCUUUUUAAUAAUUUAUCAUUAUGGCUUUUUAUAUUCAAGAUCAGUUUCAAAUAAAAAAAAUAAAGAUCAAAUUAUUCACAAGACCUAAACACAUGCUUAAGUUAAUAUUUUACUUUUAUGAGAAUUUCUGUUGACUUCAAUAUAAAUACUUAUUAUGCUCAAAGGUGAUUAUUUUCUGGAUCAGGGGCUGGCUCACAUAAUUCUUAGGAAAGGGGCCACAUUUGUUUGGUUCUCUCUAGUUAAUAAGGAUUAGUUUAAAUUUAUCCGUGAAGUUUAGGAACUUAGCAGGCAGAUUCAAAUUUCUCUUGAUAUUUGGAAUUCAGAAAUUUUGUUUAAGAUCAUCUGUGGCAUGAGUUUUAGUUUUUAAAAAGCAUCUGUUAUAAUGUACAUUUAUUUAUCUAAAAUGAUCCUCUU